AUUUAGAGGGAGUUAAAACUUUUUAAUUGGGCUUUUGAGCCCUCCUAUAUACUUUAGCUUGCAUAAGUUUUGUCAUUUUACUAUACCCUGUUAAAUUGUUUUAUUUAUCUGUUUUCAAAAUAGUUUUACAACAGUGCCUACAUACAACUAAAAAACAGCAGGAGGAAAUCAGGAGCAAGUCAACAACACAGCAGGAACAUCAUCAUCAGCUACAUUAAACAACAACAGCUAACAGUCCAGGCAUCAGAGUCCACUAUGUUUAGUAUGAAUUGCUUUAAUCUUUUUAAAGGAUGAAACGUGGGAUAUGGAUAACUUUGAAUAGAUGGUUUGGUAGAUAUCUACUAUGUAGAGAAGGCUAUAAUAUUGGAUACAAUAGCACAGUUGUAAAGUAGCAUAUACGUGUAUGUACUUUCCUUCUCCUCUUCAUGCCUUAUAUAAUAUGAAGUUGAAAUGUAAUAUUUCAAUUGUUCCUUUAAAAAUAAUAAUCAUAAAUUCAGUCUUUGCCACUGCAUGUCUCCUGGAGGACCUGCAAUUCUAGCCUGCACUUUCCACAAGCCAAGGAAUUCGGUACAGAGAAACAACAUCACAGCCAAAGAUCCUACUGGUUGCCAUGAAGUGGCUGAGCUCCACCUUGACAGAUGGAUGCACCCAGGAUUGGUGGCGAGCAUAUGUGCUGCUGUGAACUACAUAUAUGGGGGCGAGGUGGUGUUAUCCUGGCCAUAUCCACCCACAAGUUCAGUCUUUUCUUUGGUCAAUUGAUAGAUUUCCUGUACCAAGCAUUAAGCUUCCUGGCAUGAACACACACAUACACCACCUGCACACCACACAGAGCGCUUUAAAAAUAAUGUUCCAUUGCUGAAUAGGAUAGUUAAAAAGGAGAUUCAACCUACCAGCACACAAGAAGGGAGGGAGAAUAGAAAAUGCCAUUUUCUCUGUUGAUAGACAAACAUUCAGUUGGCGACUAGAAAAGAGAACUGUCUGUGUAUUUAAUGAGAUGUAGGGGAAGUUUGUCAAUAGGUUUUUUAAAAAGAGGGAAAAUUAUUUCAACCUGCUGGAUUGCCCAGAUGAUAUUCUGCCUUGGGAAAUGGACUGAGGAAACUGCAUCCUUGGGAAUAUGGGGCUCAGCCCCAGUAACAUUAUGCUCUUAACUGGCCUAAGCCUGGUUAGAGGAAGCCCAGGCUGAUGACAAAGUAAAUCUCUUUUCUGGCUACCUAUAUCUGGGGGUGGGGGGGAGGGUUUUCAAUGCCCUCAGUGGCAGAGCUCCUCAGUUAAUUAGGCUAUGAGCAUGACAGGUGCAUCUCUGUGCUGCUGGUCUGCAUUGGACCAUUGAAACUGGAUAUGACACAAAGCUGAUGACAUAUAGCUCUUGUGCCUUAUGGGUGACACCACACUCAGCUCUUCCUUCUUUUAAAUGUUCCAGAGAAGGCUGUAGCAUGAUAUAGCAGUGCUUCAAGAUGCAUUGAGUGCAAACUUUCUUCACUGCCCCAUUCAGACCAACCAGAAUCCCUGGGGAAACUGGCGGAUGUAAAUCAAGCAAGGGGAAGCUGCCCCAUGGUCCAUUCCUCUAACAGCAUUUUGAUUGUGAAAUCCUUGCUGUUGACCUGAACAUCCUAGGCUGUCACCCAAAAUGCUAACCCACCCAGUCGACCUUUCAGUGUGCACACUGAGCAUCACCAAAUGGUCCACUGGCACAUGCUACUCUUGGUGGUUAACCUUGAGCUAAAGGCCUAGUUCAUGGGUAGGCAAACUAAGGCCUGGGGCCUGGAUCCAGCCCAAUCGCCUUCUAAAUCUGGCCCGCGGACAACCCGGGAAUCAGCAUGUUUUUACAUGAGUAGAAUGUGUCCUUUUAUUUAAAAUGCAUCUUGGGUUAUUUGUGGGACAUAGGAAUUGGUUCAUUUCACCCCCCAAAAAUAUAGUCCGGCCCCCCACAAGGUCUGAGGGACAGUGGACUGGCCCCCUGCUGAAAAAAGUUUGCCGACCCCUGGCCUAGUUGUACAGUGGGCAGGGGUCACAAAUCCUGUGAAGCCUCUGUCUAGGAACUUGAGGAAUGUUAUCCCUUUUGUGAAGUGUUCUUGACUGCAUAACUAAGUCAAGCUACCUAGUCAAACUGACCAGUUGCUAUCCAUAUUUGUGUGCUUACUCCCCCUCAAUUCCAUAUUCUUAUUCCCCUCUCUUUUCUCCUUUGUUCUGGCUGACAGGAUAGCAUUGAAAUAAAAUUCACCCUCCUACUUUCCUUGCUAGCUGAGAGUAAGUGGGAACUCAGUGGAAUAGAAGUGUCCUCAAAAGGAAUGUCAACAUGCUUUGCAGCUGCAUAGAAACCCUCAACUUCAUCUUUUUCUGGAUUGCGGCCUCAAGACCAAAUGAAGCCAUUUUAUGAGACCCUAUCACAAGCCGCAGCCCCUCUCCCACUCAUAAGUUUUCCAAUAUAUCAAGUUAAAACAGCUUUGUGUGGCAAGUAAUGUGAGCUGAGGAAGGCCUUUCAAACAUUUACAAAACGUAUCGGGUUGCAAUGAGAACAAAAAACCCCACACGCUUUGGUGUAAAUUACUUAAAUGGAACUUUUCAUCAUCCCAGAAUUCUGAUACAUUGGUUCACAAUGAAGGCAGGCCUCUCAAAAGGACCG